UACGUAGGGUGCGAGCGUUGUCCGGAAUUAUUAGGGCGUAAAGGCUCGUAGGCGGUUUGUCGCGUCGGGAGUGAAAACUCAGGGCUUAAACCCUGAGCCUGCUUCCGAUACGGGCAGACUAGAGGUAUGCAGGGGAGAACGGAAUUCCUGGUGUAGCGGUGGAAUGCGCAGGAUAUCAGGAGGAACACCGAUGGCGAAGGCAGAUCUCUGGGCCGUAACUGGACGCUGAGGAGCGAAAGCAUGGGGAGCGAACAGG
rnacentral:rRNA from 1 species